rnacentral:rRNA from 1 species
GGGCCCGCACAAGCAGUGGAGCAUGUGGUUUAAUUCGACGCAACGCGCAGAACCUUACCAGGGUUUGACAUCCUCUGACGGUAGUGGAAACACUAUUUUCUGGUCUUGUACCAGACAGGGAGACAGGUGCUGCAUGGUUGUCGUCAGCUCGUGUCGUGAGAUGUUGGGUUAAGUCCCGCAACGAGCGCAACCCCUGUCCUGUGUUACCAGCGUUAAGGCGGGGACUCACAGGAGACUGCCGGAGAGAAUUCGGAGGAAGAUGGGGAUGACGUCAAAUCCUCAUGGCCCUUAUACCCUGGGCCACACACGUGCUACAAUGGCAGGCACAGAGGGGAGCUAAGGAGCGAUCCGGAGCGAAUCUCAAAAAGCCUGUCUCAGUUCGGAUUGCAGGCUGCAACUCGCCUGCAUGAAGCCGGAAUUGCUAGUAAUCGCAGAUCAGCUAUGCUGCGGUGAAUACGUUCCCGGGCCUU